rnacentral:tRNA from 1 species
GAGGCUAUAGCUCAGUGGUAGAGCCCAUGCUUAGAGUGCAGAGGUCCUGGGUUCAAUCCCCGGCACCUCA